UUUAUCGCAACAAAAUUAUAAUACUUGUUCUUGUCAUUAUUAAUAUCAUUCUAAUUGUUCAUUCAUGUUCAUACUAUUUUUCUUUACUAAUAACAAUUGAAUAACAAAGAAUAUAAAACUUUACGACGUAUAUAACCUCAUCCACUAACUUCAAUAAUCAUUCGUUUUUUACGCACAUAUUGAAUUUUUAUAUCAUACUUAAUUUCUUAUUUUACAAUUAAAUUCAUAUCCAAUUCCACAAUAACUUUCUUCGACGGUAUCUAUAGUAAUUCAAUAUCGUAGUAUUUAACUUUACGUUCUUAUUUUAUUUACAUUAUUUAUACCUAACCUCGUAUCUGAUUUUCAUUGACGGUGAUUUUCAUCGUCGGAAAUGAAUUCAAACUCGUCUAAUAUAAACAUUGAAGAAAACGAAGAUUAGAAAAAUAAAAUGAAGAAAAAGAAGAAGAGGAAAUUACAAAGGUAAGAGGAAAUAAUCGACCAACCAAAAUGAUAGAGAUCUUUGAGUGUAGAUUUUUACUCAGAGCAUGGAAUUUCGUGGCUUGUUAAGGCCAAUGAAGUUAUUCGCAUACCGUUCGCGCGGAUAUCGAUCGCCAAGCCGACCGUAUUUAAUCAUCUAGCGUGGACCCAAGAAAAGGACUUGUCCUACACUCUCUUCUUUAAGUCACCUCUCCUUCUCACUCUCUCUCUCUCUCUUUUCUCUCUUUCUCCCUCUCUUUUCUCUCCCACCUCUUACGAUCGAUUUCACGUCGGUCCUCGAUUAUUAUACCUCGACGAUCCUCUUGUACCGCCGAUACCACCAAACUUUUCUACUCGUUCGGUUCUUGAAUACCGUCUUCGGAAGAAAAAAAAAAAAAAAAAAAAGAGAGAGAGAGAAAGCUUAUUUGGAUUGAAGGAGCGAUGUUGCAUGAAAAAGAACUAAAAAUACUCGAUCGAUUCAGGCAUCUACCAAAUAACAUCGUCGGCUUAUGAGAAACUCAGUUUUACAGUUGCUAUUAAUAAAUUUCGAAUUCGUAAAGAAACGAAUUCGAAGAUGAAAGAAAAAGAAAAAGAAGGAAAAAACGAAUCAAUAUUAUAUACCUACGCAUUUUGUUCAUCAGCCGACGCAUGAAGAAAUCGAAUGAUAAUGGAUUCCAGAAACUUGACGUUCGAGUUUUAUGAGACCGUCGCAGCGGAUUUAUCCCGAUAAGGAAACUUGGAAAAACGAGCUUGCACAUUCUCAACUUUACCAUCCCAACAUAUUUAACCAUGAAAGUCGAGCUACCUGAUCGAGGCUUCUUCAAUUUUCAAUCAUUGAAAAAUUUCAAUCAUCGAAAAUUUUC